GCCAUGCAUGUCUAAGUACAUGCCGAACCAAGGCGAAACCGCGAAUGGCUCAUUAAAUCAGUUAUGGUUCCUUGGACCGUACUCCGCUACUUGGACAACUGUGGCAAUUCUAGAGCUAAUACAUGCAGCAGAGCUCCGACCUCAGGGGACGAGCGCUUUUAUUAGACAAAGACCAGCCGGGCCAACGGUCCGUCGAGCGUGGUGACUCUGUAUAACUUUGGGCUGAUCGCACGGGCUCGUCCCGGCGACGCGUCCUUCAAGUAUCUGCCUUAUCAACUGUCGAUGGUAGGUCACGUGCCUACCAUGGUCGUGACGGGUAACGGGGAAUCAGGGUUCGAUUCCGGAGAGGGAGCCUGAGAAACGGCUACCACAUCCAAGGAAGGCAGCAGGCGCGAAAAUUACCCACUCCCGGCACGGGGAGGUAGUGACGAAAAAUAACAAUACGGGACUCUUUUGAGACCCCGUAAUUGGAAUGAGUACACUCUAAAGCCUUUAACGAGGACCCAUUGGAGCACAAGCCUGGUGCCAGCACGCGCGGUAACUCCAGUUCCAAUAGCGUAUAUUAAAGUUGUUGCGGUUAAAAAGCUCGUAGUUGGAUCUCAGUUCCGGCCGGGGGGUCCGCUCAACGGCGGCCACCCCCCGCGCCGAACAGCCAGCCGGUGUGCCCCGAUGAUCUUCACCGGUUGUCCCGGCGCUCCGGCACGUUUACUUUGAAAAAAUUAGAGUGCUCAGAGCAGGCUCGAGAAGCCUGAACAGUGGUGCAUGGAAUAAUGGAAUAGGACCUCGGUUCUGUUCUGUUGGUCUUCGGAACGCGAGGUAAUGACUAAGAGGGACAGACGGGGGCAUUCGUAUUGCGACGCUCUUAAAGGAAUUGACGGAAAAACACUACCAGGCAUGGGAUCUGCGGCUUAAUUUGACUCAACGCGGGGAAUCUGACCGGGUCAGGACACGGGAAGGAUUGACAGAUUGAGAGCUCUUUCUUGAUUCCGUGAGGAGUGGUGCAUGGCCGUCUUUAGUUGGUGGAGUGAUUUGUCUGCUUAAUUGCGUUAACGAGCGAAAUCCCAACCUGCUAAAUAGGCGCUCCGAUCCUUCGAGUCGGACGCCUCUUCUUAGAGGGACCGGCGGCGUCCAGCCGCACGAAACGGGGCCACGACAGGUCUGGAAUGCCCUCAGAUGUCCUGGGCCGCACGCGCGUCACAAUGGAGGGACCAGCGUGUGCUUUCCCUGCCCGACAGGGCCGGGUAACCCGUUGAACCCCCUCCGUGCUUGGGAUAGGGGCUUGUAACUGUUCCCCUUGAACGAGGAAUGCCCAGUAAGCGCGAGUCACCAACUCGUGCUGAUUACGUCCCUGUUUUUUGUGCACACCGCCCGUCGCUAUAACCGAUUGGACGGUUUAGUGAGUUCUUCGGACUGGCGCUCGGACUGGCCUUCGGGUCCGGGCCGACGUGCCGGAAAGACGAGCGAACUUGGCCGUCUAGAGGAUAUAAAAGUCGUAACAAGGUCGCC
rnacentral:rRNA from 1 species